GCCGGGCGCGGUGGCUCACGCCUGUAAUCCCAGCACUUGGGAGGCUGAGGUGGGCAGAUCACUUGAGGUCAGGAAUUCUGACAGCAGCCUGGCCAAUAUGGUGAAACCCCGUCUCCA
rnacentral:SRP_RNA from 1 species